AUACGUAGGGGGCGAGCGUUGUCCGGAAUGGUUGGGCGUAAAGGGCGCGUAGGCGGCCCGGUAAGUCUGGAGUGAAAGUCCUGUUUUUAAGAUGGGAAUUGCUUUGGAUACUGUCGGGCUUGAGUGCAGGAGAGGUAAGUGGAAUUCCCAGUGUAGCGGUGAAAUGCGUAGAGAUUGGGAGGAACACCAGUGGCGAAGGCGACUUACUGGACUGUAACUGACGCUGAGGCGCGAAAGUGUGGGGAGCAAACAGGAUUAGAUACCCUGGUAGUCCACACCGUAAACGAUGAAUGCUAGGUGUAGGGGGUAUCGACCCCUUCUGUGCCGCAGGCAACACAAUAAGCAUUCCGCCUGGGGAGUACGGCCGCAAGGUUGAAACUCAAAGGAAUUGACGGGG
rnacentral:rRNA from 1 species